CGUCAGGACCCAUGCGGGCAUGCGCCGCCGGAAUCCGCCAGGGCCGGAAGGCAGCAACGGCAAGCAGAUGCAUGUCGCGCCGUGGCCAUCCUGGCGAUA
rnacentral:SRP_RNA from 1 species